rnacentral:rRNA from 1 species
CCUGCCCUUGGGUCCGGCAUAACCCCGGGAAACUGGGGAUAAUUCCGGAUAACGCACAUAUGCUGGAAUGCUUUACGCGUCAAAUGGAUUCGUCUGCCCAAGGAUGGGUCUGCGGCCUAUCAGGUAGUAGUGGGUGUAAUGUACCUACUAGCCGACGACGGGUACGGGUUGUGAGAGCAAGAGCCCGGAGAUGGAUUCUGAGACAUGAAUCCAGGCCCUACGGGGCGCAGCAGGCGCGAAAACUUUACAAUGCGGGAAACCGUGAUAAGGGGACACCGAGUGCCAGCAUCAUAUGCUGGCUGUCCGGGUGUGUAAAAUACACCUGUUAGCAAGGGCCGGGCAAGACCGGUGCCAGCCGCCGCGGUAACACCGGCGGCCCGAGUGGUGAUCGUGAUUAUUGGGUCUAAAGGGUCCGUAGCCGGUUUGGUCAGUCCUCCGGGAAAUCUGACGGCUUAACCGUUAGGCUUUCGGAGGAUACUGCCAGGCUUGGAACCGGGAGAGGUAAGAGGUACUACAGGGGUAGGAGUGAAAUCUUGUAAUCCCUGUGGGACCACCUGUGGCGAAGGCGUCUUACCAGAACGGGUUCGACGGUGA